AUGGAAGAAAGAGCAAAGGGAGGGGAAGGGGAAGAAGAGAGGGCAGGAGCCAUACAUUGUGGUUGCGCAAGAGUGGGGGUGAGGAGCUACAGCCGGAGAGGAGAGGGAGGAGUUGUGGCCGGAGAGGAGGAAGCUGGUGCAGAUCUGAGGAAGCUGCUGCCAGAGAUAAAGGUACACGCUGACUGCUACCGCCAUGAGAACUCAGUGACAUCCAUCGUCGGCAGAUGGCGUAACACAAUCCCGGCUUGGAAUCAAUUAUCACCCUUAAUUCAGCUCAGUUUGUUAUUACCUCUGUACUUCAAGUCUCGGUAG
rnacentral:rRNA from 1 species